ACCCCCGGGAAACUGGGGCCAAUCCCCCAUAGGGGAAGGGCGCUGGAAGGCCCCCUCCCCGAAAGGACGGCGGCCGAUCCGCCGCCGCCCGCCCGAGGAUGGGGGCACGGCCCAUCAGGUAGUUGGCGGGUUAAAGGCCCGCCAAGCCGAAGACGGGUAGGGGCGGUGAGAGCCGCGAGCCCCGAGAUCGGCACUGAGACAAGGGCCGAGGCCCUACGGGGUGCAGCAGGCGCGAAUACUCCGCAAUGCGGGCAACCGCGACGGGGCUACCCCGAGUGCCGGGCGAAGAGCCCGGCUUUUGCCCGGUCUAAAACGCCGGGAGAAUAAGCGGGGGGCAAGUCUGGUGUCAGCCGCCGCGGUAAUACCAGCUCCGCGAGUGGUCGGGGUGUUUACUGGGCUUAAAGCGCCCGUAGCCGGCCCGGCAAGUCGCUCCUGAAAUCCCAGGGCUCAACCCUGGGGCAGGGGGCGAUACUGCCGGGCUAGGGGGCGGAAGAGGCCGCCGGUACUCCGGGGGUAGGGGCGAAAUCCGUUAAUCCCCGGAGGACCACCAGUGGCGAAAGCGGGCGGCCAGAACGCGCCCGACGGUGAGGGGCGAAAGCCGGGGGAGCAAAGGGGAUUAGAUACCCCUGUAGUCCCGGCCGUAAACGAUGCGGGCUAGCUGUCGGCUGGGCUUAGGGCCCGGCCGGUGGCAAAGGGAAACCGUUAAGCCCGCCGCCUGGGGAGUACGGCCGCAAGGCUGAAACUUAAAGGAAUUGGCGGGGGGGCACACAAGGGGUGAAGCUUGCGGCUUAAUUGGAGUCAACGCCGGAAACCUCACCC
rnacentral:rRNA from 1 species